UACGGGGGGGGCAAGCGUUGUUCGGAAUUACUGGGCGUAAAGGGCUCGUAGGCGGCCAACUAAGUCGGAUGUGAAAUCCCCAGGCUUAACCUGGGAACUGCAUCCGAUACUGGAUGGCUUGAAUCCGGGAGAGGGAUGCGGAAUUCCAGGUGUAGCGGUGAAAUGCGUAGAUAUCUGGAGGAACAUCAGUGGCGAAGGCGACACCCUGGACUCAUACUGACACUGAGGUGCGAAAGCGUGGGGAGCAAACAGG
rnacentral:rRNA from 1 species